GAAUGACUCUCGGCAACGGAUAUCUCGGCUCUCGCAUCGAUGAAGAACGUAGCGAAAUGCGAUACUUGGUGUGAAUUGCAGAAUCCCGUGAACCACCGAGUCUUUGAACGCAAGUUGCGCCCGAAGCCAUUAGGCCGAGGGCACGCCUGCCUGGGUGUCACAC
rnacentral:rRNA from 1 species